rnacentral:rRNA from 1 species
GAACGACUCUCGGCAACGGAUAUCUCGGCUCUCGCAUCGAUGAAGAACGUAGCGAAAUGCGAUACUUGGUGUGAAUUGCAGAAUCCCGUGAACCAUCGAGUUUUUGAACGCAAGUUGCGCCCCAAGCCUUUGGGCCGAGGGMACGCUUGCCUGGGCGUCACG